AACGAACGCUGGCGGCAUGCCUAACACAUGCAAGUCGAACGAGACCGGCUGGUCCUGGUGCGCACUGGUGCGUAACGCGAGGGAACCUUCCCGUAGGGGCGGAAUAACUUCCCGCAAGGGGCGCCAAUACCGGACGAUGUCUACUGCCCAAUGAUUUCUUGCCAUUGGAUGGGUACGCGUUGGAUUAGCUAGUUGGUAGGGUAAAAGCCAACCAAGGCGACGAUCCAUAGCUGGUCUGAGAGGAUGAUCCGCCACACUGGGACUGAGACACGGCCAAGACUCCUACGGGAGGCAGCAGUGGGGAAUAUUGGACGAUGGGCGAAAGCAUGAUCCUGCAAUGCCGCGUGAGUGAUGAAGGCCUUAGGGUUGUAAGGCUCUUUUAAACGGGAUGCUAGUGACGGUACCGGGAGAAUAAGCUCCGGCUAACUACGUG
rnacentral:rRNA from 1 species